ensembl:lncRNA
GCAUCUUCUUAAAAGUAAACUAGUUAUAAGUGACUGAACCAAAGAGAACAGAUUACAAAAGAAAAACAGGAUAGGAUGGAUCAUGAUAUCAAUGGGGUUCAUGUGUUGACAUCUUGUGCUGCUGAGAUUACCUGCUCCUCAGAAAAGUGAAAGAAUUAAAGCAAGGAUCUGCUACAUUCACAGUCUGUUUAGGGAAGAUAUAGAUUUUCUCUGCUUUGGAGUUCCAGAGGACAAAACUCAGAGACCAGAGAUAAAGGGGAUUGGUUUGCCAAUCACAGAAGCUGUAGAGCGCGUCUGUAAACAAUUAGGAGCUCAAGUCAAUACUGAAACAAAUAGCACACUACAAGAUUAAGAAACAGUAUGAAAGGCACUGCGGGAAUGAGUAACAGGAGAAUCCCAUACCGACCUCAGCCCAAGACAAGUAGUCAGACCCAGCUCUAUUUGCAGGAGAGCCUCAGUUCUUUGAGGUGAAGAAAAUUUCUGUAGUGGUACGCAUGAGAGAAAUUUCUUCCGGUGGAAAGAAUUGAUUAAAUAAAAAUUUAACAAGUGGCACCUAUUCCGUGCACCUCCUUGAUGCAGAGGAAAUGGGCAUCUAUAUACAGUUCUGUAGUCCCUCUAAUAUUCGGAGAAGUGGAG